GUAGCCAUAGCUCAGUUGGUUAGAGCAUCAGAUUGUGAUUCUGAGGGUCGAGGGUUCGAGCCCUUGGUUACU
rnacentral:tRNA from 1 species